AGCUUGCUCUCUGGGUGGCGAGUGGCGGACGGGUGAGGAAUACAUCGGAAUCUGCCUAUUUGUGGGGGAUAACGUAGGGAAACUUACGCUAAUACCGCAUACGUCCUACGGGAGAAAGUGGGGGACCGCAAGGCCUCACGCAGAUAGAUGAGCCGAUGUCGGAUUAGCUAGUUGGCGGGGUAAAGGCCCACCAAGGCGACGAUCCGUAGCUGGUCUGAGAGGAUGAUCAGCCACACUGGAACUGAGACACGGUCCAGACUCCUACGGGAGGCAGCAGUGGGGAAUAUUGGACAAUGGGCGCAAGCCUGAUCCAGCCAUGCCGCGUGGGUGAAGAAGGCCUUCGGGUUGUAAAGCCCUUUUGUUGGGAAAGAAAAGUUCAGGGUUAAUAACCCUGGAUUAUGACGGUACCCAAAGAAUAAGCACCGGCUAACUUCGUGCCAGCAGCCGCGGUAAUACGAAGGGUGCAAGCGUUACUCGGAAUUACUGGGCGUAAAGCGUGCGUAGGUGGUGGUUUAAGUCAGAUGUGAAAGCCCUGGGCUCAAC
rnacentral:rRNA from 2 species